AAUUACAUGUCACCUGCUUCCAGUCCAAACAGUUGCAGAAGGAUGACCCCAUAUUCCACCCAGCUCGAAGAUGGGUUUACAACCCACAUCUAGCCAGUCCCAUUUUCCAUCUUCUGGUGAUCGGUCAAGGAUGAGAAUGCAACCCAAGCCAGAUCAAAGGCAUUUAAAACUAUGACUUUCUUGGAAUCCAAGAAAAGGAGAAACUCUUUCUCGGAAAAUGGAUGGGUCUCAGAGGACAUGGGGUCAUCAUGUCUGUUUAGUCUCUUCUGGGCUCUGACAGUUGCUCAGAUUCUCCUUGUUUCCAUGACCUUGACAGCGUGGAGGAGGGCUGCUCAGUUUCUACUGCACCCCAGGUAAUCCACAGGACCCAAGAGAUGGUAGCUACUAAUAUACUCUUCCCACGGUGCCUCUUCAUACCAUGCGGACUCCGACAAGGGAAAUAAGUGUCACAACUUUGGUUGAACGUGGUCUGGUGUCAGAUUUACCUGAUGGCCACCACUCACAGCUCCUGCAGAGCCCGGAGAUUUCUCCUGGAAGGAAAGGUUCUGGAAAAUCAAAGGAUAAAUAAAGGAUGCAGCUGAUUCCCACCUUGUGCUGACGCCCAAGAGGGUGGGGAGAGUGAGUGUUUUCUCAUUAGAAUUUUAAAUCUUCCAAGUAAUAGAUCAUUGGUGGGGGGCAUCCAGUGUUCUCCUGCUCAUUCUAA